rnacentral:rRNA from 1 species
CCUGCGGAAGGAUCAUUAUUGAAUUGUGAAUGGGGCUUGAUGCUGGCUUGUCAUCCUUUGGCUGCAUGUGCUCGCCCCAGCAAUCCUUUUCCAAACACCUGUGCACCUUCCUUGUGAGAAUGUGAGAGAAAGGGCUUGUCUCUUUUAUCUCGUCUCAUGAUUCAUAAACGCUGCUUGUAAUGUUGAAUGCAUUUAUGCCGUCAAGGCUUUAACCUAAUACAACUUUUGACAACGGAUCUCUUGGCUCUCGCAUCGAUGAAGAACGCAGCGAAAUGCGAUAAGUAAUGUGAAUUGCAGAAUUCAGUGAAUCAUCGAAUCUUUGAACGCACCUUGCGCUCCCUGGUAUUCCGGGGAGCACGCCUGUUCGAGUGUCGUGAAACUAUCAAGCCAGGAUGCUUUCUUGCUUCCUGACCUUGGUUUAUUGGGCUUUGCCGUGCCCUUCAUUGGAACGGCUGGCCUUAAAAGCAUUAGCUGACUCCAUGUGGUUAUUGGUAUUCUACUUGGCGUGAUAAUAAUCUGACCGCUGAGAAAGUGUCCUUUCGGGGAUGGCCAAUUUUCAUGUGGGGUUGCUUCUAAUCUCUGGAGCUCAUGUUCCAUUUUCAACUUUGGCCUCGAAUCAGGUGGGACUACCCGCUGAACUUAAGCAUAUCAAUAAGCGGAGGAAAAGAAACUAACAAGGAUUCCCCUAGUAACGGCGAGUGAAGCGGGAAAAGCUCAAAUUUAAAAUCUGGCAGUCUUUCAGCUGUC